rnacentral:rRNA from 1 species
GAUUAUGGCUCAGGAUGAACGCUGGCGGCGUGCCUAACACAUGCAAGGGGUCAACGAGAGAGAUUGGUGCUUGCACCGAUCAAUCGAGUGGCGGACGGGUGAGUAACGCGUGGGUAACCUGCCUCAUACAGGGGGAUAACAACUGGAAACGGUUGAUAAUACCGCAUAAGCGCACGGUAUCGCAUGAUACAGUGUGAAAAACUCCGGUGGUAUGAGAUGGACCCGCGUCUGAUUAGCUAGUUGGCGGGGUAACGGCCCACCAAGGCGACGAUCAGUAGCCGGCCUGAGAGGGUGAACGGCCACAUUGGGACUGAGACACGGCCCAAACUCCUACGGGAGGCAGCAGUGGGGAAUAUUGCACAAUGGGGGAAACCCUGAUGCCAGCGACGCCGCGUGAGCGAAGAAGUAUUUCGGUAUGUAAAGCUCUAUCAGCAGGGAAGAAAAUGACGGUACCUGACUAAGAAGCCCCGGCUAACUACGUGCCAGCAGCGGC